rnacentral:rRNA from 1 species
GGAAGAAUAUUAGUCAAUGGCCUAACGGCUGAACUGGCAACUUGGAGAAGUGGCAAGUCUUCCAGUAUGGGGAGCAAAACAGCUAUGGGUCAAGUCCGAUAUCUUUAGGAGAAGUCUUAUUGUGAGGGCGAGUUAUAUAACACCAUAGGACUGGCCGUCCCAUAUGAAAAGAUUAUAUUAGAAUUGAAUGAAGCUUUGUUUAUAUAUUGAUAAUGACAGUAUAUAUAUCGUGUCUUGACUAAUUGCGUGCCAGCAGUCGCGGUAAUACGUAAGAGACUAGUGUUAUUCAUCUUAAUUAGGUUUAAAGGGUACCCAGACGGUCAAUAUAGCUUAUAAAAUGUUAGUACUUGACUAGAGUUUUAUGUAAGAGGGCAGUACUUGAGGAGGAGAGAUGAAAUUUCGUGAUACCAAAGGGACUCUGUAAAGGCGAAGGCAGCCCUCUAUGUAAAAACUGACGUUGAAGGACGAAGGCACAGAGAACAAACAGGAUUAGAUACCCAAGUAGUCUUUGCAGUAAAUGAUGAAUGCCAUAGGUUAGAUUGAUCAAUUAUAGUCUAGGGUUAGUCUAGCAAACUAAUGCCCUAUGAUAUAAUUCAAAAUAUCUGGUCUAUAAAUGAAAGUGUAAGCAUUUCACCUCAAGAGUAAUGUGGCAACGCAGGAACUGAAAUCACUAGACCGUUUCUGACACCAGUAGUGAAGUAUGUUAUUUAAUUC